rnacentral:rRNA from 1 species
GAUGAACGCUGGCGGCGUGCCUAAUACAUGCAAGUCGAGCGAACAGACGAGGAGCUUGCUCCUCUGACGUUAGCGGCGGACGGGUGAGUAACACGUGGAUAACCUACCUAUAAGACUGGGAUAACUUCGGGAAACCGGAGCUAAUACCGGAUAAUAUAUUGAACCGCAUGGUUCAAUAGUGAAAGACGGUUUUGCUGUCACUUAUAGAUGGAUCCGCGCCGCAUUAGCUAGUUGGUAAGGUAACGGCUUACCAAGGCAACGAUGCGUAGCCGACCUGAGAGGGUGAGCGGCCACUGGAACUGAGACACGGUCCAGACUCCUAAGGGAGGCAGCAGUAGGGAAUCGUCCGCAAUGGGCGAAAGCUUGACGGAGCAACGCCGCGUGAGUGAUGAAGGUCUUCGGAUCGUAAAACUCUGUUAUUAGGGAAGAACAAAUGUGUAAGUAACUAUGCACGUCUUGACGGUACCUAAUCAGAAAGCCACGGCUAACUACGUG